GACGUAGGGCGCAAGCGUUGUCCGGAUUUAUUGGGCGUAAAGAGCUCGUAGGCGGCUUGUCGCGUCGACUGUGAAAAACCACGACUCAACCGUGGGACUGCAGUCGAUACGGGCAGGCUAGAGUUCGGUAGGGGAGACUGGAAUUCCUGGUGUAGCGGUGAAAUGCGCAGAUAUCAGGAGGAACACCGGUGGCGAAGGCGGGUCUCUGGGCCGAUACUGACGCUGAGGAGCGAAAGCGUGGGGAGCGAACAGG
rnacentral:rRNA from 1 species